GGUUAGAUAGCAUAAUUGGUAAUGUGUUUAGAUUGCAAAUCUUUAAAAUAAGAGUUCAAUCCUCUUUCUAACCU